rnacentral:rRNA from 1 species
GAUGAACGCUAGCUACAGGCUUAACACAUGCAAGUCGAGGGGAAACGGCAUUGAGUGCUUGCACUCUUUGGACGUCGACCGGCGCACGGGUGAGUAACGCGUAUCCAACCUUCCCAUUACUGUGGGAUAACCUGCCGAAAGGCAGACUAAUACCGCAUAGUCCUCGAUGACGGCAUCAGAUUUGAAGUAAAGAUUUAUCGGUAAUGGAUGGGGAUGCGUCUGAUUAGCUUGUUGGCGGGGUAACGGCCCACCAAGGCAACGAUCAGUAGGGGUUCUGAGAGGAAGGUCCCCCACAUUGGAACUGAGACACGGUCCAAACUCCUACGGGAGGCAGCAGUGAGGAAUAUUGGUCAAUGGACGGAAGUCUGAACCAGCCAAGUAGCGUGUAGGAUGACGGCCCUAUGGGUUGUAAACUGCUUUUGUAUGGGGAUAAAGUUAGGGACGUGUCCCUAUUUGCAGGUACCAUACGAAUAAGGACCGGCUAAUUCCGUGCCAGCAGCCGCGGUAAUACGGAAGGUCCAGGCGUUAUCCGGAUUUAUUGGGUUUAAAGGGAGCGUAGGCUGGAGAUUAAGUGUGUUGUGAAAUGUAGACGCUCAACGUCUGAAUUGCAGCGCAUACUGGUUUCCUUGAGUACGCACAACGUUGGCGGAAUUCGUCGUGUAGCGGUGAAAUGCUUAGAUAUGACGAAGAACUCCGAUUGCGAAGGCAGCUGACGGGAGCGCAACUGACGCUUAAGCUCGAAGGUGCGGGUAUCAAACAGG